rnacentral:rRNA from 1 species
UACGAAGGGGGCUAGCGUUGCUCGGAAUCACUGGGCGUAAAGCGCACGUAGGCGGAUUAUCUAAGUCAGGGGUGAAAUCCUGGAGCUCAACUCCAGAACUGCCCUUUGAUACUGGAGGAUCUGAGUCGGGAGAGGUGAGUGGAACUGCGAGUGUAGAGGUGAAAUUCGUAGAUAUUCGCAAGAACACCAGUGGCGAAGGCGGCUCACUGGCC